rnacentral:lncRNA from 1 species
ACCCAAGGUCACCAGAAGCCUGGAACAUCAGAGUGAAGGCCAAAUCCCAAUCUUGUGCAUCUCCCAUUGUGCUUCCUGUACAGAAGGCAUGGAGAUUCCCUGCCUGAGCUUUGGGCUUGAAAGUCCAACUGGCUUUUGUUGACUCACUAAAGAUGGUCUCCUUCUCUGUAUCCUGCGAUGGUGGACUGUACAACACCUAGCCCCCCGGCAUCAACCAGUGUAUCCCGUCCAAGGCUGUGUUUCCCAUGAACUCUUCCAGUAAUGACUAGCAGGAUGCUGAGGGCUCCCAUUCAGCCUAUUCUUGUAAAGCAGAGGAUUUUUCCAGCAAGUGACCUUGGCUCGUGAUGAAUUCUCUGUUGGCCCGGAAGAAUGUCUCUUCACUGUGUUGACAGCCAGGAUGCCGCCUAUGCAGGCCUGCUGCUUUGACUCUCUGCCACAGACUUGAAACCUCCUUUGCUGUGUCUGCUUUCAACGCAUCCCUUGCAUGGGGUUCUUAAGCAACACCCUUGCCAACAAACAUCUUGCAUGUUGAUCUGCACAUACCUGAAGCAUAUCUGGGUGCUUCCUGGGAAACAUAGCUUGUGGCUCUUGAUAGCAGGAGUGGUGCCAGAAAAGGUAGUCACUGAAGGUAGGUCCUAAGGUUGUUAA